AAAAACUUCAAAUACCCCUCGUGGUUUCGCACUUUCUCACUUUAAUAUCUUAUAGUUUAAAGUGUAUCAAGUUAGUACCCUACAGUUUUCCACUUUCUCACUUUAGUAUCUUGUGGUUUAAAAUGUAUUAAGUUAAUUAGUACCCUGUGGUUUCGCACUUUCUCACUUUAGUACCAUGUGGUUUAAUAUUUCAUUAAAUUAUAUACAAAAAAAACUUCAGAUAUCCUACCUAGGUUUAUCGAAUAUUCAUUAUAGUACUCUUUAGUUUUAACUUUGUCACUGAUUUAACGAAAAAAAUACUCCGAAAUGAAUAUUAAAAAGAGAAAUAUAAAAUCACAGAGUACUAACUCGAUACAAAAAUAAAAUCACAGAGUACUAACUUGAUACAUUUUACACCAUAUGGUACUAAAAUGAAAAAGUGCGAAACCACAGGGUACCAACUUAAUACAUUUUAAACCACAGGGUACGUACUAAAGUGAUAAAUUGCGAAAUCAC
rnacentral:lncRNA from 1 species